GUGGGGAAUCUUGCGCAAUGGACGAAAGCCUGACGCAGCCAUGCCGCGUGAAUGAUGAAGGUCUUAGGAUUGUAAAAUUCUUUCACCGGGGACGAUAAUGACGGUACCCGGAGAAGAAGCUCCGGCUAACUUCGUGCCAGCAGCCGCGGUAAUACGAAGGGGGCUAGCGUUGCUCGGAAUUACUGGGCGUAAAGGGCGCGUAGGCGGACAGCUUAGUCAGAGGUGAAAGCCCAGGGCUCAACCUUGGAAUUGCCUUUGAUACUGGCUGUCUUGAGUUUGGGAGAGGUGAGUGGAACUCCGAGUGUAGAGGUGAAAUUCGUAGAUAUUCGGAAGAACACCAGUGGCGAAGGCGACUCACUGGCCCAAUACUGACGCUGAGGCGCGAAAGCGUGGGGAGCAAACAGGAUUAGAAACCCCGGUAGUCC
rnacentral:rRNA from 1 species